UACAGAGGUCUCAAGCGUUUGUUCGGAUUCAUUGGGCGUAAAGGGAGCGUAGGUGGCGGGGCAAGUCAGGUGUGAAAUCUCGGGGCUCAACCCCGAAACUGCACUUGAUACUGCCUUGCUAGAGUACUGGAGAGGAGAUUGGAAUUUACGGUGUAGCAGUGAAAUGCGUAGAUAUCGUAAGGAAGACCAGUGGCGAAGGCGAAUCUCUGGACAGUUACUGACACUGAGGCUCGAAGGCCAGGGGAGCAAACGGG
rnacentral:rRNA from 1 species